GAACUCUACUAUUAGUCGAUUUUCUACAGUGAUCAACUAUUCUCCGAAUCUCUUCUAGACUUCUUCCGGCCAUGGACGACUCUACUCGAAACUUCUUCCAGACUUCAUCAAUAUCUGAGCUUCUCCGACAACAAGAUUUCUACAGUAACCAGACUCCAUCCAGGUUUCUACGGUGGUCGACCGCCUUCCAGAUUCCAUCCAAGCUCCUAC
rnacentral:lncRNA from 1 species